rnacentral:rRNA from 1 species
AACGAACGCUGGCGGCGGGGUUUAGGCAUGCAAGUCGAGCGAGAAAGUCUUCGGACGAGUACAGCGGCGUAAGGGUGAGUAAUAGGUAGUUCACGUACCCUCGAGACGCGAAUAAUUCCUCGAAAGAGGUUGUAAUGCGCGAUGAGACCACGGUCCUUCCGGGGACAGAGGUCAAAGGUUCGGGAUCCUUCGGGACCGAGCGCUCGGGGAGCGGACGACCUCCGAUUAGCUAGAUGGCGGGGUAACGGCCCACCAUGGCGAUGAUCGGUAGCCGGCCUGAGAGGGUGUACGGCCACACUGGGACUGAGACACUGCCCAGACUCCUACGGGAGGCUGCAGUCGCGAAUCAUUCACAAUGGACGCAAGUCUGAUGAUGCCACGCCGCGUGCGGGAUGAAGGCCCUUUGGGUUGUAAACCGCUGUCAAGGAAGGGGAACCGCUGGAUGUGAACAGCAUCCAGU